ACCGUCAGCAAAAAGUCUACAAACAAUAAAUGCUGAUGGGGUUGUAGAGAACUGUGUAACCUCUAGGUGCUGGUGAGAUGUAAAGUGGUUAACAGCCAAUAAUGAGAACAGAAAGGAACUGCGUGUAAAAGUAAAAACUGAGGUACCAUUCAAUCCAGCAGGCACACCACUGGGCCUCUCACCUGAGAAGACCAGAAUCGAAAAGACACACGCUGCAAAAGCUGCACUGCAGCCUUAUUCAAAAUAGCCAAGAUGGGAAGCAACCAAAAUGUCCAUCAACGGGUGAAUGGAUAAAGAAGAAGGGGUCCAUGUACACAAUGAAAUAUUAGCCAUGGAAAACAAUGAAACACUGCUCUUUGAGGCACCAGAGAUGAGCCUGGAGAUAAUCACAAAACAUGAGCAGGCACACCACUGGGCCUCUCACCUGAGAAGACCAGAAUCGAAAAGACACACGCUGCAAAAGCUGCACUGCAGCCUUAUUCAAAAUAGCCAAGAUGGGAAGCAACCAAAAUGUCCAUCAACGGGUGAAUGGAUAAAGAAGAAGGGGUCCAUGUACACAAUGAAAUAUUAGCCAUGGAAAACAAUGAAACACUGCUCUUUGAGGCACCAGAGAUGAGCCUGGAGAUAAUCACAAAACAUGAGCAGGCGCACCAAUGGGCCUCUCACCUGAGAAGACCAGAAUGAAGAAGACCCGGGCUGCAAAAGCUGCACUGCAGCCUUAUUCACAAUAGACAAGACAGUGAAGCAACCAAAAUGUCCAUCAACAGAUGAAAGGAUAAAGAAGAAGUGGUCCAUGUACACAAUGAAUACUAGCCAUGGAAAACAAUGAAACACUGCUCUUUGAGGCACCAUAGAUGAUCUUGGAGAUAAUCACAGAACAUGAGGUAAGUCGGAAAGCAAAAGUCCUAUAUCCUAUGAUAUCACUUAUAGGCGUUAUCUAAUAACUGACACAAAUGAACAUAUUUCCACAGAGAAAGUCAAUCACAGACUUAUUAAAAAAAACUAUGCUUAUCUAAAAGGAAAGGUGGGGGGAAUGGAUAAAUGAAGAUUAGCGUUACCAUAUGUAUACAAAUACAUAUUAUAUACAUAUAUCAAAAAGACCGACCAUAUAGCAAGGAAGGUUUACGGAACACUCUGUAAUAAUUUACACGGGAAGAGGAUCUCUACAUCAAUAGGUAUAUAGAAUAUGUAGAUGAACCAGAGUGUG